rnacentral:rRNA from 1 species
GAUCUCCUACGGGAGGCAGCAGUGGGGAAUCUUAGACAAUGGGCGCAAGCCUGAUCCAGCCAUGCCGCGUGAGUGAUGAAGGCCUUAGGGUCGUAAAGCUCUUUCGCCAGGGAUGAUAAUGACAGUACCUGGUAAAGACACCCCGGCUAACUCCGUGCCAGCAGCCGCGGUAAUACGGAGGGGGUUAGCGUUGUUCGGAAUUACUGGGCGUAAAGCGCACGUAGGCGGACUAUUAAGUCAGAGGUGAAAUCCCAGGGCUCAACCCUGGAACUGCCUUUGAUACUGGUAGUCUUGAGUUCGAGGGAGGGGAGUGGAAUUCCGAGUGUAGAGGUGAAAUCCGUAGAUAUUCGGAGGAACACCAGUGGCGAAAGCGGCA